rnacentral:rRNA from 1 species
UACGUAGGGGGCUAGCGUUGUCCGGAUUUAUUGGGCGUAAAGAGCGUGUAGGCGGCCAGGUAGGUCCGCUGUGAAAGUCCGAGGCUCAACCUCGGAAUGUCGGCGGAAACCCUCUGGCUAGAGUCCGGAAGAGGAGAGUGGAAUUCCCGGUGUAGCGGUGGAAUGCGCAGAUAUCAGGAGGAACCCCGGUGGCGAAGGCGGGUCUCUGGGCAGUAACUGACGCUGAGGAGCGAAAGCGUGGGGAGCGAACAGG